UACGUAGGGGGCAAGCGUUGUCCGGAUUUAUUGGGCGUAAAGAGCGUGUAGGCGGCCAGGUAGGUCCGUUGUGAAAACUGGAGGCUUAACCUCCAGCUGUCGAUGGAAACCAUCUGGCUAGAGUCCGGAAGAGGAGAGUGGAAUUCCUGGUGUAGCGGUGAAAUGCGCAGAUAUCAGGAGGAACACCGGUGGCGAAGGCGGUUCUCUGGGCAUGAUCUGACGCUGAGGAGCGAAAGUGUGGGGAGCGAACAGG
rnacentral:rRNA from 1 species